GCAAGUCGAACGGUAACAGGAAAUAGCUUGCUAUUCGCUGACGAGUUGCGAACGGGUGCGUAACGCGUAUGCAACCUACCCUUAACAGGGGGAUAGCCUUCCGAAAGGAAGAAUAAUAUCCCAUAAUAUAAUUGAAUGGCAUCAUUUAGUUAUUAAAGCUCCGGCGGUUAAGGAUGGGCAUGCGUGUCAUUAGUUAGUUGGUGAGGUAACGGCUCACCAAGACUACGAUGACUAGGGGUUCUGAGAGGAUUAUC
rnacentral:rRNA from 1 species